GAGCAGGAAUGUGUUCAGGAAGUCCAC
rnacentral:sRNA from 1 species